CUCCUACGGGAGGCAGCAGUGGGGAAUUUUGGACAAUGGGCGCAAGCCUGAUCCAGCCAUGCCGCGUGCGGGAAGAAGGCCUUCGGGUUGUAAACCGCUUUUGUCAGGGAAGAAAUCUUCUGGGUUAAUACCUCGGGAGGAUGACGGUACCUGAAGAAUAAGCACCGGCUAACUACGUGCCAGCAGCCGCGGUAAUA
rnacentral:rRNA from 1 species